UACGUCGGCGCGAGUUGUUGACGUGGCAGCAAAACGGGUCCUUGAGGGCGCAAUUUGUUGCCAUGUCAGCAACUCGUGCUGACGUGG
rfam:Gossypium raimondii chromosome 2, whole genome shotgun sequence.